rnacentral:ribozyme from 13 species
UUUUUUUUUUUUUUUUUUUUUUUUUUUUUUUUUUUUUUUAAUUUUUUGUUGCCUUUAUUGAAUCAAAUUACACAAAACACAGAACACAGAAGGAU